AGUGGUUAAAAGAUAGAACAGUCUAGCCAAGUGCCAUGUUUCUUAUUCUUGAUCAGCUAUAGCUCUGGGGUUUUUGCAGAUUUUCAAAUAAAACUCAGAAAUUCCUUGUAUGAUUCUCUCUGGUCUCUCUUUUGUGGUAUUUUUGGAUCCUUACCAAGGCAGUGAUGGUAUAUGCCUUCUCUCAAGAUAUGUAGUAUUUGUGGUAUGAAGCAUAGUGACAUUGUCUUCUCUCUCACCCUACUCUAAUAAGGCUUUAAUAUCUGAAGCUCAUAGGUGGGAGAUAAAGUAUACAUACUUACAAGACAUUUAUUGCAUAGUCAAACCAUGGAUCCAAAGAAACAAAUCAAUAAGCCAAAUCAAGAUGUGCAUGUGUGGCGAAUGAAUGGUGUAUGUUGAUGAUGGUGAUAACAAUGGUGAAAACAAUGGAGGUGGAAGUCUAAUUCUACUUUGCUCUUUGAGGGG
rnacentral:lncRNA from 1 species